ensembl:lncRNA
AUUUUCUAUAAAAUUUGGUCAUCAACAUUAAAAAUUAUAGACCAGAAGAUUGAAUGUCUGUUUAUAAACACAUUUAUUUCAGAUACAAUAUUUUAUAAGUGAUCUUUAGGAGAAAAAAAAAAAUCAUAUAACUAUGAUAUAAUAAUUCAUAUAACACAAUUUUAUUUUAAAAAUUCUAUCAUUUUGGUCAUAUUUCAGACCUGAAUGUUACAUUUUUGCUCAUAAACAAAUUACAAGUUUGUUUUAUUUUCAGCAUAAUGAAACAUGAGAUUAUAACAUAUAUAACAUACAAUUCGAUUUUUAAAAAUUAUUAUUUCUAUAAUCUGACAUCAACAUUGAAUAUUUCAGACCUGAAUGUUACAUUUUAGUUUAUAAACACAUUUAAAAAAAAAAUUCUCCAGUUAAAAUGUUUUAUAUGUGAUCUAAAAAAGUCAUCUAUUAAGUUCGGUCUAUAAUAUUGACAAUAAUGUUUUCUAUAAGUUUGGUCAUCAACAUUAAAAAUUUUAGAUUAACAAAUUAAAUGUUUGUUUAUAAACACAUUUAUCUCAGGUGUAAUAUUUCAUAAGUUAUCUUAUAAUAAAAGAUAGGGGGGGGGGGGGGUCAUAAUUCAUAUAACAUAGAAUUUUAUAAAGAAAAUUCAAUCAUUUUGGUCAUCAACAUUAAAUAUUUUAGACCUGAAGGUUAAAUUUUUGUUUAUAAACAAAGUAUAAGUUUGUUUUAUUUUAGGUAUAAUGUAACAUGCAAUUAGAAAAUACUAUAGCAUGAAAUUGAGUUUUUAUUUUUAUUUUUUCAUGAUUAUUUCUAUAAUCUUGGUCGUCAACAUUGACUACUUUAGACCUGAAUAUUAAGUUUUUGCUUAUAAACACAUUGGAAGAUUUUCUUUUUAUUUCAGAUAUAAUGUUUUAUAAGUGAUCUUUUAAAAGUUAGCACUCAUAUUACAUGCGGUUUUAAGAACUAAAAUAUCAAAUCUAAUAAGAAUAAAUUAUUUAUGCAUGAAAGGGUUAAUCCUGACUUAAGUAAAAGUGAAAAUACUUGUUUAUUAUUUAUGUUCCUGGAAUAUCCAUAUCCAAUAUGAAAAUAUCCAUUAAUUAUUAGUUAAAAAAAAUAAAAAAUGCAAAUCAAUACUGCUCCCCAUGAUCACCAGAGCUGGAGCUAUACUCUUAGAGAAAACCUUUCCUCAAGGGUUCCUAAUGAAGGUGGGACCAUUUUGCAUAGAAGUUUACUGUUAAAUUGAUUAAUGUUCCCCGCUGACCCUCCAUACACUGUGUUGCAUCUGGUCCUUCUAUGGUUAUUAUUUCCUGUUCUUAUUGCUCUGUUGUUAAUUAAUGUCACCUUUUGUGUGUUAAUUCUGUCUAAUUUGUUGGUACGAGAAUGUGCAGCAGAGUUGCUUCUAAACUGUAUAAAGUUCCACGUUAUUUGGGUUCUAGUUCUUAGUUAUACAGCGGUUCUCUCCUUUUCACCUCAGUCUGCUUCAUCUGAGUAACGACAGGAUGUUAAUGGAGUCAUCUCAUGACUUGGGAUCUUUUCUCAGUGAUGUGAGAUGGAUGGAGUUAAAUGGAGUCAGCAUCCAUUUUAACAUUUUAAUUUUUUUUUUUUUUUUUGUUUACGCCUCGGGUCAUUCCGAGCAGAUUAUAAAUAUCUCUCUAUUGUUUUUCUUUCAUGGAUCAGUUCAUUUCCUGACCUGCAGGGGCCCUCGACGUGCUUUGGAAAACGCUGGAAAAACAACAUCUCAGCACAUUUUUAUGCUGAACACAGGAAUGUGAGAGAAUUUUUUCCUAAAAAAAAAACAACAAGAGGAAACACACCACCAGAGGACGUCUCUGGACAUGGAGAACAUUUGUUGUUGUUGUUGUUUGUUCUACAUCAUGGUACUUUUAUUUGUCAAACAACAAAAUCGGGAUUUAAACCCUUUGCAUGUACAGUUAACAUUUACAAAUCGCCAACCUGAACAUAGGAAAGUGAGGAAGUUUUUUUUUUUAAAAAUUUUUAAAUGCACUACAGUAAAAAGUCUGUACAUUUACAUUUCAGUAAGAACCCGCAACUCUCCUGCCAGUAAUUUAAUGAACAAGGAAUGUUUAAAAAUAAAAAUCAUGAUCAGAAACAGGGCACAAACUCUUAUUUUAGUAAACAUCUGAGAAACCAAACACACCCAGUAUGCUUUGUUUUUCUCCCACCGGUAAGCAAGUUUUCAGUGCGUGUCAUUUCUCUUUACUAACCGCAGACGGAGAUGAAAAUUUGGCGCUGGUUAGGACACCCUGCUGGGAGAAGCAGAGCCAAUAUCUCCGGCUCAACCGGAGCACGAUGCUGCUAAUGUCAUUCCGGUUUAAAAUAAAGUCGGACGCGAGAGAUUCCAGUCCCGGCGAGGGAAACGAGUCGACGCUCUCAAAUGCAAUUUCAUCAGCUUGCUCAGUCAGUGGAAAGCUGGAGGCUCUACCAGCCAAGAAACAUUACACAUGACAUCAUUCCUCCAUCCGUCCGUGCAAACGCUCGAGUGUGUGGAACGCAGAAGGAAUGCUGAGUGUGGAAAAC